rnacentral:lncRNA from 1 species
AGGAUCCGCACGUUUUCCCGUCCGUUGCAUCGAUUUUUUUAAAUUUUCUGACGAAAAAGUGCGUUUAGUGUACACAAUUUAUGCGUAAUCUGUUACUACUGCCCUGCUUAGCCUCCUGAAAAAGCGCGUUUUCUUAAUACUACAACACCACACACUCCUUCCCCACUCACACGAGCAUUGCUAGCUCUCUGUGUUGGUUAAUAAAAUUUCCUAAUUCAACAUUAGUGAAUUUCGUUAGCUGAUGCAGUUGGUUAACAGUGUUUUUGUCGGUGUGGAUUCCCGGGCUUAAGAUGACUCCAGAGCGCGGCGCGGCCUUCCCCAAGAGAGGAGACUUCUUGGGUCACCCCCUAACCCUGAUGUUCGGGCAUCGAUGACCUGUGUAGCAUGCAGAGGUACCCAAGGGAGUCACCACCCUCUGGUUUACGAGCUAGGUGUUCUAAUGCUAGAGGCUUCGGCCGGAUACGACUUGGCACCCAAGCUCCGAGACUUCUUCGUGCACGUAUUCCGUGACCCUCGAAGAGGCAGGGGGCGGGAUAUCGGACACAUUGAAGAUGAUGAGGGGGGUCCGCCUGUAGGGGGUCCCGGUGGAUGUCCGUCCGACGGGUGACGAGGGUGACCCCAGACGAGGCGGCUUAAUUGGGAUGGGAACUGACUGGUGAGGCUUAAUCGUCGACCAAUGGGUCGAAUCUGCAUAAGGAAGGCAACCAGCACACACUCGCAGGCGGGUCGUGGAAACAUUUUUUUGUUUUUUCUCUUGGUCUGCCCCUCGUCGAAUUUUGAAGGCAGAAAAUGUCGGUAGGAGGCGAGCAUAACCAGGCCUAACUUAAACCUGUUAAAAGACAACCCGGGUUCGCAGCGCGAUUUUAAAAAGCAAGAUUGAAGAAGUCAGAAGUUCUAUCUACAUGCUGCAUAUGAUCAGUCCCAAAAAUUUCGGAUUGUUCCAGGCACCGUCGAAUACCUGGAAAACGUGUUUAUUGUCAACUCUACAGGAUCGACCGAAGUCCAUGGAGUUGGGGGCAUUCGAUGUGCCCCAUAGCAGUGAGACGCCACUGUUUUUUUCGCCGUAUAAUUAUUAUGGUGGGACUGAAAAUGAACUUAAGCAAGAUAUGAUGGUGAUACAGUAUGGCUUGGAGAACUUCAAAAGUCGGUUCGCGUCGUGGUUCCAAAGCAGUAACUUUAGGUUCUGUACAUUUACAGAAUGUUGCAUUAAGUACUCAUUUUUUAAUUUGCAAUUUUUAUAUUUCAUUUUUACUUUUUUUCUUACUCUAUACAAGGCUUUAAUAUAAAGUUUUUUUAGCAAUAAUAAAAGGGUAAUAAAAAAAUAACUCCAAAGAGACAAUUAGGUAGCAUAUUGUUUUUCUAUUAUAUUUGAAAAUAACUAUUU